rnacentral:rRNA from 1 species
CCUACGGGAGGCAGCAGUAAGGAAUCUUGCGCAAUGGGCGAAAGCCUGACGCAGCGACGCCGCGUGGGCGAUGAAGGCCUUCGGGUUGUAAAGCCCUUUUCUGGGGGACGAGGAAGGACGGUACCCCAGGAAUAAGUCACGGCUAACUACGUGCCAGCAGCCGCGGUAAAACGUAGGUGGCAAGCGUUAUCCGGAAUCACUGGGCGUAAAGGGCGUCUAGGCGGACGGGUAAGUCGUGCGUGAAAGCUUCCGGCUCAACCGGGAGAGUUCGUCCGAUACUGCCUGUCUUGAGGGUCGGAGAGGGACGUGGAAUUCCCGGUGUAGCGGUAAAAUGCGUAGAUAUGCAUCGGAACACCGGUGGCGAAGGCGGCUCUCUGGACGGUCACUGACGCUGAGGGACGAAAGCCAGGGGAGCAAACGGGAUUAGAUCCCCCUGUAGU